ACGGAGGGUGCGAGCGUUAAUCGGAAUUACUGGGCGUAAAGCGCAUGCAGGCGGCCUGUUAAGUCAGAUGUGAAAGCCCGGGGCUUAACCUCGGAAUUGCAUUUGAAACUGGCAGGCUAGAGUCUUGUAGAGGGGGUAGAAUUUCGGGUGUAGCGGUGAAAUGCGUAGAGAUCUGAAGGAAUACCAGUGGCGAAGGCGGCCCCCUGGACAAAGACUGACGCUCAGAUGCGAAAGCGUGGGGAGCAAACAGGAUUAGAUACCCUGGUAG
rnacentral:rRNA from 1 species